GACGAACGCUGGCGGCGUGCUUAACACAUGCAAGUCGAACGGAAAGGCCCUGCUUGCAGGGUACUCGAGUGGCGAACGGGUGAGUAACACGUGGGUGAUCUGCCCUGCACUUCGGGAUAAGCCUGGGAAGCUGGGUCUAAUACCGGAUAGGAGCCAUUUUUAGUGUGAUGGUUGGAAAGUUUUUCGGUGUAGGAUGAGCUCGCGGCCUAUCAGCUUGUUGGUGGGGUAAUGGCCUACCAAGGCGGCGACGGGUAGCCGGCCUGAGAGGGUGGACGGCCACAUUGGGACUGAGAUACGGCCCAGACUCCUACGGGAGGCAGCAGUGGGGAAUAUUGCACAAUGGGCGCAAGCCUGAUGCAGCGACGCCGCGUGGGGGAUGACGGCCUUCGGGUUGUAAACUCCUUUCGCUAGGGACGAAGCUUUUUGUGACGGUACCUAGAUAAGAAGCACCGGCUAACUACGUG
rnacentral:rRNA from 1 species